UUAUGGUAGCUUUCCAUGGCCUCCUUUAAGGCUUCUUGGGCUCGUUCUUUCCAGUACGCAUCUAAAUCUAAUACCGUACUAUCUUCAUUUGCAACAUCGGUUGGACCAUCAUUACUCGAAACAAAUACAGCAAAGGAUAAGAAAAACAAACAUAGAAAGAAAUAGGACGAGUUAAACAUUGCUGCCAUUGUUGUUGGUACUUCGUCGGCGGCCACCGACACCUUGCGAGAGGACACUGUCGGGUUGGGCGAGGACAGGGUUGCUCGAUGGUGUUGAAGCAGUCCCGGCCAAGCCAAGCCAACAGAUUAAACCGGUCACAAGAGAUUAUUAAUUAACCAACCGACUUACCUAUUGAUUUGCUUGGGGGUGUCUUUAAAUAUGAGAACAGAUUCGCUAAAUAAGGCAUUUGCAGUUAAUUAAUUAUAAUUAAGCGUCUUAAUCUAACAUUUGACGGGAAGUGUGGGCAGAAUAGCCUUUGAAAAUUAGGGCCUUCCCCUUAAAUUGCUUUAAAUUGAUUAAUUCAGGUGCUAGCUAAUUUUGGAUGUUGUUUCAGGAAAGACUAUCACCAUAAUACUCGCGUCGACACAUGUUUAAUACAUUUGUAAAUUGUAAUAGUCAAAAGUC
rnacentral:lncRNA from 1 species